CUAAACAACUAAUUGAUCAUACAAAACAUGGUACUUAUUAUGUGUUCAUGAAAAGUAUAAAGCAUUCAAUAUAACGAUUUUUCUUAGUUCUUAAUAUCUUUCUGAGCUGAAAACCGUAUCAUUUUCUUAUGUAUUAGCGAUGCAGAAGAUAUAGUUGCCACGGAACAGGAAAAUUUAGAACUUCAAGUUAGGUCGCUGGAGGGUGAAGUAGCGAGCUCGAGUAAGCUUGUAACCGCAGUGAAAAAGUUUUUUACGGAAGGUCAGAUUAUGAAGCUGAUUGUAAAUAAAAAUAUACAUUGGUCAUGGUCAGACAUUUCAUCGGCCGUUAUCUUACAUGCAUCAGGACAGAGAGCAUAUAGGCAUUUGCUAAAAAAUGGUUAUCCUCUUCCGUGUGUGGCCACUUUGAAUAACUGGGUGCGAAAAAUGAAAAUGGAUGAAGGGCUUUUAGAAAAUGUGAUUAAACUUAUGGAAUAUAGUAAAUAAAGUAAACAGGAACGGAUCUGUGUGCUCUCCAUAGAUGAGAUGAAAAUAGCUUCUUGCUAUGAGUAUGAUCCGAUGAAGAGAGUCGUGAGAAAACCAUCAAACUAUGUGCAAUUUGUAUUCGUUCGAGGAUUGGUGUCCUCAUGGAAGCAACCUAUUUUUUAUGGAUUUGAUUGUAAAAUAAAGAAAGAUACAUUGGAGAACAUAAGCUCAAAACUAUAUUCAGCAAACUUUACAGUCGUUGAAGUCGUUUCGGACAUGGGGCCUUCUAAUCAAGCAAUGUGGAAAGAUAUCGGUAACGGUCAACUUCAAAAACUUGGUUCAAUCAUCCUAAAAGUGAUACACAGCGUGUAUUCGUGUUUGCUGAUGCACCGCACCUUUUAAAAUUAAUUAGAAAUCACUUUAUAGAUAAUGGUUUUAUUUAUGAAGGAAAAAUUAUAACAGUACAGACAAUUAAGCAAGUUUUGAACCUAACGACAGUCUUUGACGUAUCCAUUACUUAUAAAUUAAGCUAUGAGCAUUUGGAAGUAAAAGGCGCAACUAUUUUCGAACACGUGUGCUAAUGCUAUAAGAAGAUGCUACAUAGAUUAACAUAAAAUAUAUACCGCAGUGGAAUGUGCAGAUUUUAUCCAACUUGUUAAUAACUGGUUUGAUAUUUUUAAUUCUAAUAUUCGUUCUAAUCAAACUCCGUUCACAAUGCCAUAUGGAAAAUCACUUUUGCAACAAAACGAAGUGCUCGAAAAAAUGUCAAAAAUAAUGUCUGAGCCCUUGAUUUCAAAUAAACGAUGCAUAGCUGCUUUUCAAAAGGGAAUAAUUAUUUCCACAACGUCUCUUAAGCUAUUACUUGAGUACAUACAUGGAAACUUUGGGAUGGAAUAUAUUUUAACGCAGCGCCUGAAUCAAGACAUCUUGGAGCAUUUUUUUGGCGAUAUGAGAAGGGUUGGGGGGCAAUAUUACCAUCCGACACCGCUACAUUUUAAAUAUCGACUUCGAAAAUAUAUGUUUGCACGGAACACCGAAAGUUUAGCUCAACAUUGAACGUACAAGAGGAMGAUGCAAAGUGGCUGACACUAGAUCCGGAGCCGGAAUAUUUUUUAGAAGAUGAGAUAUAUAUACAUGAAGAACACUUUUUAAGUAAAGAGCUUGACAAAAAUAAUAAUCAAAAUUUAAGUAGUACAAGUUUGGGUUCAUUUUAUGAGGAUGGACUGGAAUAUUUGGGUGGUUUUUUAAUACACAAAUAAAAUUUAGGUGACAGAAUUUCAACUGAUAGUACAUGGACAUGGGUAAAACCGAACCAAAAUUUUUUAGAACAGUUAAAACUUUUAGAAGACGUGUUUACAAAUGUGCAUAACGACAACAUUUGCAGUGUCAGAAAUUUGGUAGAGAUACUUUUUGAUAAAUGUAAAGAUAUUGCUCUUGAGGAUAAUGUCAAGAAAUUGUUUUUUAGGUGCAGGAUACAUUUUCGAAUCAAGCAUUUGAACAAAAAUUUGAAAAAUAAACAGUUGCAUCAAAAAUAUCACAACGAAAAAAAUGUUUUAUACACUUACUUGAAAAUACAAUAUUAGAAACAAAACUACUCAUUUAAUUUUUGAUUUAUGCUUUGGAAUGAACUAUAUGAAAGAUUUAUAAUAACUAUUAUAAUUUAAAGAGUCGCAUAAACAUCUGUACACAGUUUCUAAUAGUUUGGCGGGGUACCGGUUACGACGUAUAUAUAUAGUUACAAUAAAAUUUGUGAA